CUAUCCUUUUGCCGUCUCUCUCUCUCCCUUUUUUCUUAUUUUAGGUUUAUUUCUCCUCGAUACUCUCUCUCUAGAUUCUCGAUUUUCUCUCUCUAAAUCGAAGCGGGGUCCCGAGUUUUUCUCUCAAUUUAACGGAUCCGGAGAUAUAAUUGGAUCGUUUGGUGGAAGGAAUCGCAGUUAGUUUCCGAUUAGGGAAAAAAAAGAAAUUAGGGUUUAGAUUAGCUAAUGGUGAAUUGAAGAAGCUAGGGUUUGUUUUACCGGAUCUAUAUAGAAUCGGUUGAUUAAGCGAAGACAGAAGUUUGGAUUUUGGGUUUUAUUUCUUGGAAGGAGAGUGGUGGAUUGAUGGUACUCGAGGGGGAAAAUGCAAGGCUAUGCUGCAUGGAAGGGAAGGUGAGGAGAGGAAAAAGGAUCAUCGGCACAUGUGGACAGGUCCCACACGUGGUAAUUCUGCUGUAGCUGGUGAUGAUGUUUCUAAUUCGUUUUUCAAGGAUGGACGCAAGAUCAGUGUUGGAGACUGUGCUUUGUUCAAACCACCCCAGGACUCCCCGCCAUUCAUUGGAAUAAUUCGUUGGCUGACUAACGGUAAAGAGAACAAGUUAAAGUUAGGUGUAAAUUGGCUUUAUCGACCUGCUGAAGUAAAGCUUGGCAAAGGCAUCCUAUUGGAAGCUGUGCCAAACGAAAUAUUCUAUUCCUUUCAUAAGGAUGAAAUUCCUGCUGCAUCAUUACUCCAUCCGUGUAAAGUUGCGUUCCUUCCCAAAGGUGUUGAACUUCCAUCAGGGAUUUGCUCAUUUGUGUGCCGGCGAGUUUAUGACGUUACGAACAAGUGUUUAUGGUGGCUAACUGAUCAGGAUUAUAUUAAUGAACGUCAAGAGGAAGUAGAUCACUUAUUGGAUAAGACACGCUUAGAAAUGCAUGCAACAGUGCAACCAGGUGGACGCUCUCCAAAGCCAGUGAAUGGACCAACAUCAACAUCUCAGUUAAAACCUGUUUCAGAUAGUGUACAGAAUAGUGUUUCAUCCUUUUCUUCUUAUGGUAAGGGAAAGAAAAGAGAAAGGGGCGAUCAGGGCUCUGAGCCUGUGAAACGAGAGCGCUUUACAAAAAUGGAUGAUGGGGAUUCUGGCCAUAGUAGACCAGAAAGCAUGUGGAAAUCUGAGGUUUCUAAAUUUACAGAAAAAGGAGGACUUGUGGAUUCUGAAGGGGUUGAGAAAUUGGUGCAUAUAAUGCUCCCUGAGAGAAAUGAGAAAAAAAUAGACUUGGUUGGUCGGUCAAUUCUCGCUGGUGUGGUAGCAGCCACUGAUAAGUUUGAAUGCCUAAAUCAGUUUGUGCAGCUUAGAGGCUUGCCGGUGUUUGAUGAAUGGCUGCAGGAGGUCCAUAAAGGGAAGAUUGGUGAUGGUAGCCCCAAGGAUGGUGAUAAAUCAGUUGAGGAAUUUCUGGUAGUUUUACUUCGGGCACUCGAUAAGCUCCCUGUAAAUCUUCAUGCUCUGCAAAUGUGUAAUAUUGGCAAAUCUGUGAAUCUUCUGCGCACCCAUAAGAACUUGGAAAUACAGAAGAAAGCGAGGAGCUUAGUUGACACAUGGAAGAAACGUGUUGAGGCGGAAAUGGAUGCAAAUGCAAAGUCUGCCUCUAACCAAGGUGUCUCAUGGCCUGCUAGAUCACGUCUUUCUGAAGUUCCUCAUGGUGGGAACAGACAAUCUGGUGUAUCCUCUGAGGUUGCAAUGAAGAGCUCAGUUGUGCAACUCUCUGCUUCGAAAACUGGUUCGGUCAAGGCUGUACAGGGGGAUACUGUUACCAAGUCCGCAUCAACAUCCCCUGGACCUGUAAGAUCGACAACUUCACCUGGAUCAGUGGGUAAUAACUCAAAGGAAACACAACCCCGAAACACUGGUGCGAGUGCUGCCUCCGAUCCAUCUCCAACAGUAGCAAGGGAUGAGAAAAGCAGCAGUUCUAGCCCGUCCCACAACAAUAGUCAAUCCUGUUCCAGUGACCAUGCCAAAACUGGGGGGUUUUCUGGAAAGGAGGAUGCAAGGAGCUCGACUGCUGGUUCAAUGACGGCAAAUAAGAUCAUUGUUGGUUCUUUGCGGCAUCGUAAAUCAGUCAAUGGCUUUCCAGGCCAAGCUCUAUCUGGUGUCCAAAAGGAAACUGGGUCGAGCAGAAAUUCUUCUUUGCACAGAAAUUCAGGUUCAGAAAAAUUGUCACAUUCCAGUUUGACAUGUGAGAAGGCACUUGAUGUUCCCAUGACAGAGGGGAAUGGCCAUAAAUUUAUUGUUAAAAUUCCCAACAGAGGUCGCAGUCCGGCACAAAGUUCCAGUGGAGGAACUUUCGAAGACGCAUCAGUCAUGAAUAGCAGAGCUUCUUCUCCUGUGAUUUCGGAGAGGCAUGACCAGUUUGAUCAUAAUUUGAAGGAAAAAAAUGAUUCAUAUCGAGCUAACAUUACAUCUGAUGUUAAGACUGAGUCGUGGCAAAGCAAUGAUUUCAAAGAGGUGCUUACCGGAUCAGAUGAGGGAGUUGGGUCGCCUGCCACUGUUCCUGAUGAAGAGCAUGGUCGGAUAGGUGAUGAUGGUAGAAAAUCAGGUGAAGUCUCAAAAGCUACACCUACUUCAACUGUGUGUGAACAUAAAUUGGGGAAGUUGAAUGAUGCUUCUUUCAGCUCCAUGAAUGCUUUGAUUGAAAGUUGUGCAAAGUACUCUGAAGGAAAUGCAUCAUUGUCAGUUGGUGAUGAUGGUGGUAUGAAUCUCCUUGCUAGUGUAGCUGCUGGGGAGAUGUCCAAGUCUGAUAUGGUUUCACCGACAGGUUCUCCAAGGAGAAACAUGCCUAUCGAGCAUCCCUGUGUGCCAAGUGGUUUGAGAGCAAAAUCCUCUCCAUGUGAUGAUCCUGCUCAAAGCCAAGGUAAGCCUGUUGAUGGUGUUGAUUAUGAAGAUGAGAAGCGGGGUAUUACUGUUGGUACUUCACUGUCCAAGAACACAGAGGCUAAAACAGUUUUGUUUUCGCAAGAAAAAAGCACAGGGGAGCUCAAUGGACCUCCUAAUUCUUCCCAUGUGGAUGUGCAGCAAACUGCCAAACCAUGCCUAGAAAGCUAUUUGAAAUCAGAGGAAACAUUAGUAGCUGCUGUGUCCUCUGCUAGCACAGCAGUGAAAACAUCAAAUUGUGGGGGCAAAGAACCGUGGGAGAAAGAGGAUGGUGGCAGAUCAAAUGUAGAUGGCAUAUCUGAUGACAAAGAAAAGUUGCAUGGUUCUGUCUUUAAUGAUAUCAACAAUACAGGAGUGCAAGUUGCGAUUGAAGCAAUGGAAGGAUCAUCAUCAAACCAUCGUGUAGAGUUUGAUGCUGAGAACAAGAAAAAUAUAAAUAAAGAGCUGAACAUUUCUAUUAAGGCAGAGCCAGCACCACCUGCUAUUAUGCUGUCUGAUUUUGCAAAAGGAACAAUUAAUGAAGUGCUCCAACCUUCUAGUUCUGGUAAGGAUAUGGAUUCUGAAAACUUGCAUGAGGUGAAGGCUGGUGAAACAGAUGGCAGGAGUCAUUCUACAGAGAAAAAUAAAAUUGAAAAUGAAAGUAAUACAGCAUCAGCUGCCACUGAUCAUGAAGGUGAGUGCAAAGUGGAGAGCCUGGGAGGUAAUCAGGUCGAUGAGCAAUGUAGUACCGGACCAGCUGCCCACAAGGCAGCACCCAUACUUUUUCAGGCACCAGAACAAAUAGUAAGGUCAACAGAGUCGAAGUUUGCUGGCACUGGAACUGAUGAAACUGAGGAAUGUACAUCUGAUGCUGCUGAGGCUUCUUCUUUAUCUGCUGCAGGGGGAUCGGAUCUGGAAGCAAAAGUUGAAUUUGAUCUGAAUGAAGGCUUUAUUUCUGAUGAUGGGAAAUAUGGGGAGUCGAGUGACUUGAGAGCACCUGGAUGCUCUUCUGCGAUUCAGCUAGUUAGCCCUUUGCCCUUACCUGUUUCUUCUGUGUCUAGUGGGCUUCCUGCUUCCAUUACAGUAGCUGCCGCUGCAAAAGGGCCCUUUGUUCCACCAGAGGAUUUACUUAAGAGUAGACGGGAGCUUGGUUGGAAGGGAUCGGCAGCCACAAGUGCAUUUCGGCCAGCUGAACCUAGAAAAGCUUUGGAGAUUCCAUUAGGUACAGCUAAUAUCUCACUACCUGAUGCAAUGGUUUCCAAGCCUGGUCGCCCCCUGUUAGAUAUUGACUUGAAUGUUCCUGAUGAAAGAAUCCUUGAGGAUUUGGCUUCACGAAGUUCUGCUCAGGAGGCAGUUUCUGUUUCUGACCUUGCAAAGAACAAUGAUUGUGCACGUGAUGCACUGAUGGGUUCAAUAUCUGUUCGAAGCUCUGGGGGACUUGAUCUUGAUUUGAAUAGAGCAGAUGAAGCUAGUGAUAUUGGUAAUCACUUAACAAGCAUUGGCCGGAGGCUGGAUGCCCCACUACAUCCCGCCAAAUCAUCUGGUGGUUUUCUAAACGGAAAGGUUGGUGGUUGCUGGGACUUUGAUUUGAAUGAUGGCCCUCUUGUCGAUGAGGUGAGUGCCGAACCAUCACAACUUGGGCGGCAUACCCAAAACAUUGUGCCAUCCCAACCAUCCAUUUCUAGCCUUCGAAUGAACAGUACAGAAAUGGGAAACUUCCCCUCCUGGUUUCCUCAAGGGAAUCCGUAUCCUGCUGUCACAAUCCAAUCUAUCUUGCAUGAUAGAGGAGAGCAGCCUUUCCCUAUAGUUGCAACUGGUGGGCCUCAACGGAUCUUGGCUUCCUCUACUGGCAGCAACCCAUUUAAUCCUGAUGUCUACAGGGGAGCAGUGUUGUCGUCCUCUCCAGCAGUGCCAUUUCCAUCUACUCCUUUUCAGUAUCCUGUCUUUCCUUUUGGGACCAGCUUCCCUCUUCCCUCAGCUACAUUUUCAGGUGGUUCAGCAUCGUAUGUGGAUUCAUCAUCUGGUGGGAGGCUUUGCUUUCCCACAGUACCUUCUCAAGUAGUAGCGCAAGUUGGUGUGGUCUCAUCCCAUUAUCCAAGGCCUUAUGCUGUUAACCUCCCAGACAGUAACAAUAAUGGUGCUGUGGAGAGCAGUAGGAAAUGGGUAAGGCAGGGUCUAGAUCUCAAUGCCGGGCCUCUAGGUGCAGAUAUUGAAGGUAGAAAUGAGACCUCAGCUCUUGCAUCGAGGCAGCUGUCUGUUGCCAGUUCACAAGCCCAUGCAGAGGAGCUAUCGAGGAUGUAUCAGGCGACUAGUGGAGGUUUUCUUAAGAGGAAGGAACCAGAGGGUGGAUGGGAUGGUUAUAAGCAAUCCUCCUGGCAGAAGGGAUGAAUAAUGACACAAUGCAGUGAUCCACCUUUCUCCUGGUUGGAUGUUGGCUAACUCCAAAAGAUCGUCUAACUUUGUGAUCUCAAGGAUGGGUGGUAAGUGAGUUAUUUGAUGUUCAGUCUCCGACCCCCACCCUGUCGCUUUACCCAUUGCGCCUUACAAGAAAUCUGUCCGGGGUUGUUGAGCUGUUAUUUCCUUGAAUUUGAACUGGGUGGCUGCAGUUCACUUUCCUCUUUGUAGAUAUUUUAACCAAUGGAAAGCGUGCAUUCUGUGACUGUUGCCCAGACAUUCGAAAUUGGUGUCCAUACUGUUGUCCAGUGCAUCGACAAUUUAUACUGCUGGGUGCAAAACCAUCCUUCCUUUUCCAACCAUUUUGAGAAUGAAUGGUGAUUGGAUUAGUAAACUGCUUUAAGCAGAAGCCCUUUUGUACGUGCUUUGUUGUUAAGGAAUCUUUCUUCAUUUAUCUUUUCAUUCUCUCUUUAAUCACAUACAUAUAAGCAGAGUGGUCCGUGAAUUUUGGUGCUGAAGCCUUUCUUGCACUGGCAUGUGGUUUAGUUGACAAUGGUUGGAUGCUGUAUUCCUUUUAAUUUAUUCUAUUUUUUUUAA